AAUGAACGCUGGCGGCGUGCCUAAUACAUGCAAGUCGAGCGGACAGACGGGGAGCUGCCCCUGCUGGCGUUAGCGGCGCACGGGUGAGUAACAUCUGAAUAACCUACGUAUUAGACUGUGGUAAGUCCAGGGAACCGGUAAUAAUACCGGAGAAUAUCGGAAAAAGCAUGGGGCAAUAGUGGAAUAUCGUUUUGCGGUUACUUAUAGACUGAUCCGCGCCGCAUUAGGUCGUUGGUAAGGUAAGGGCUUAACAAGGCGACGAUCAGUAGCCGAGCUGAGAGAGUGAACGGCCACACUGGAACUGAGACACGGUCCAGACUCCUACGGGAGGCAGCAGUAGGGAAUCUUCCGCAAUGGGCGAAAGCCUGACGCAGCAACGCCGCGGGAGUGAAGAAGGUCUUCGGAUCGUAAAGCACUGUUGUUAGGAAAGAAAUACUGUGUACGUAACUAUGCACGUGUUGACGGUACCUAAUGAGAAAGCCACGGCUAACUACGUG
rnacentral:rRNA from 1 species